AGUGAACGCUGGCGGUAGGCCUAACACAUGCAAGUCGAACGGCAGCACAGGAGAGCUUGCUCUCUGGGUGGCGAGUGGCGGACGGGUGAGGAAUACAUCGGAAUCUGCCCAGUCGUGGGGGAUAACGUAGGGAAACUUACGCUAAUACCGCAUACGACCUUCGGGUGAAAGAGGGGGAUCGCAAGACCUCUCGCGAUUGGAUGAGCCGAUGUCGGAUUAGCUAGUUGGCGGGGUAAUGGCCCACCAAGGCGACGAUCCGUAGAUGGUCUGAGAGGAUGAUCAGCCACACUGGAACUGAGACACGGUCCAGACUCCUACGGGAGGCAGCAGUGGGGAAUAUUGGACAAUGGGCGCAAGCCUGAUCCAGCCAUACCGCGUGGGUGAAGAAGGCCUUCGGGUUGUAAAGCCCUUUUGUUGGGAAAGAAAUCUUUCAGGCUAAUACCCUGGGAGGAUGACGGUACCCAAAGAAUAAGCACCGGCUAACUUCGUG
rnacentral:rRNA from 1 species